GUAGGUGGCAAGCGUUGUCCGGAAUUAUUGGGCGUAAAGCGCGCGCAGGCGGUUCUUUAAGUCUGAUGUGAAAGCCCACGGCUCAACCGUGGAGGGUCAUUGGAAACUGGAGAACUUGAGUACAGAAGAGGAAAGCGGAAUUCCACGUGUAGCGGUGAAAUGCGUAGAGACGUGGAGGAACACCAGUGGCGAAGGCGGCUUUCUGGUCUGUAACUGACGCUGAGGCGCGAAAGCGUGGGGAGCAAACAGGGAUUAGAUACCCUGGUAGUCCACGCCGUAAACGAUGAGUGCUAAGUGUUAGGGGGUAUCCGCCCCCUUAGUGCUGCAGCUAACGCAUUAAGCACUCCGCCUGGGGAGUACGGCCGCAAGGCUG
rnacentral:rRNA from 1 species